UACGUAGGGUGCGAGCGUUGUCCGGAAUUAUUGGGCGUAAAGAGCUCGUAGGCGGUCUGUCGCGUCGGUCGUGAAAACUUGGGGCUUAACCCUGAGCUUGCGGUCGAUACGGGCAUGACUGGAGUUCGGUAGGGGAGACUGGAAUUCCUGGUGUAGCGGUGAAAUGCGCAGAUAUCAGGAGGAACACCGGUGGCGAAGGCGGGUCUCUGGGACGAGACUGACGCUGAGGAGCGAAAGCGUGGGGAGCGAACAGG
rnacentral:rRNA from 1 species